GCUCCUAUGGAUUAGUGGUUAAAUCGUCUGCUUCACACGCAGAAGGUCGCCGGUUCGAACCCGGCUGGGAGCU
rnacentral:tRNA from 1 species